UAUGUUUUAAGAAACAUAAGGGAAACUGGAAAAAAGUGCUCAUAACAGAAAUUAAAGUUCCUACACAUAUAUUUUAAAAAUUGAACACCUCUCUAGAAAAGGAGCAAAGGGGAUAAACAAUUUAGAAAGAUAAAAUACAAAAGGUAAUGAAUAAUAAACAAGAUGGCCUUUUCAUCCAAUCGGCCAAGAUUAGAGAAAAAUGUGAUACUCAUUGUUAGUGAUGUUGUGAAAGGGGCACUCAUCGCAGUUGGAAUACACACGGGUAUUUUUGAAAAGCAGUAACACAAUAGAUUUCAAAAGCCUUACAAAAUGUGAGUGCCUUGUGAUGCACAAUUUUGCCUCUAUCCCAGUGAAAUAAUUAAGGAUAUCAGCUCUAAGAAUGUUAGUUAUCACAAUGCUUGUAAGUGAAAAGCUGAAAAAAAGUCUCAAAAUUGGAUUGACAUAGCUAUUUUAUGUGAUGAAAACAAAAUAUUAACAUUUGAAAUGUGAAAGAAUGUUCAAGAUAUACGGAUGGACGAAAGGGGCUGCUAUACAGCAAUGUCUUUUCUUAUUCUUAGGAAAACAACAUCAGAGCAUACAAACAAACAUGCUUGGGGAGGCUAAGGAAGUUUGUUCUGAUUUUCUACAGUGAGCACGUACCACUUAAGUACGGUGAGCAAAACGGGUCACGCCACGUGGCCACUCGGGCAGGUGCGGCACUUUGAGCUGCAGGGAAUCGCGCCCCAGCAGACUGGGGAGGAAGCAGCUUUGUGCGCUCCCACAACUGCCUGGAAUUGAGAUAGGGAGCCUGAGGCAGAAAGGGAGCUACACCAGAGGACUCUGUCUGAAGCCUUACCUGCCCUAGGGCAAACAGGUUAGCACACACCUGCUUCUCUCUGGCUGUGACCUGCCUUCCUCCCCGUCCCUUUCCUUGGCUCAGAACAGCACACAAGCUGCAAAUGCCCGAGUCUCACAUGUUCACGUGGCUCCCACAGGUACAAAAUUAAAUGUUUUUCUCCUGUCAAUCUGUCUUAGGCCAGUUUAAUUGGAUCAGCCAAAGAGCCCUGGAAGAGACAUCUUUUCUACCUCUACGGUUGGGCUGGUGCCAAGCACGGGCCCCGUGUGGCUUGCUGCUGCAGCCAGGAGAUCCUGGGACUUCUGACCAGAGUCGGCGAAGACACAGUUAGAAACACUGAUUAUACUUUGAAGACUUGAACUGGAAUAUCUGUUUGAGAAUGCACAUAGAAGGAACACUUUAUGGAGCUAAUGAAGCACCUUGGAAAACCAGCCUGGUACCUGCUUACAGGGUUCCCAGCUUUAUCAGGUGAGUAAAGAACAUCGCUUCCUGGCAGAUGCAGGGACCUCAAGAGGCUUUGAGAAGUUCCAGUAAAGCAGACAUACAAGAACAUAAAUGGUCGAUUAUUUAUAUACGUGCAACAGGAAUAGUAAUCAGGCCAAAUUUAUUGAAACUACACUUAAUGUGCAGAUUAGUCUCACUGUGGUUACCUUUGCUAGAAAACAGGGGUGAAUGUAGAGAGGAAUUAUGUUUCAGUAAUACACCUUUGCGGGUAUCGGAUUCUAGUGCUGUUAAUUUUGUCUUUGAUGUUUUGUCCAGU